UCUCCUCCUACCCAAAAUACCAUCGUACCAGCUGCAUUUCUUUUAUCUCUCGCCUUACUCUCUUUCCUCUCCGGUAUCCCUAUGUUACCACUUACCAUAACCCUUCGUUACACACCAUCCACUGGAAACACUAACCUUAAGUUACCUCCACCAUCUCCCCCUAUGUUGCCUCUCUUCUACCUUCUCUUAUGACAAGAAACCCUAACAGUCUCCACAACCCUAACCGUCACCACCAGCGAAGAGGUGAGGACAAGGACAAUGAUAAGCCAUCGAUUUCUGAUUCAUCUCUCUCCUUCAUUCCUUAGUUGUUAUAGGCAUUUACCUCGUAAGUUUUUCCAAUCUUUUUUCUAUUUGACUUGAUUCUCACAUCAUCUCAACCAAUCUUUUUUUUUCAUCUCUCUCCUUCCUGUUUUGAUUCAAAUUUUUGGUUAUAGGAGUUUUACUCUGAUUUUUUAUUAUAGAAAUUUUACUGGUUCACAGGAUCAAAUUUUGAUAUUUUACAACAACCUAAUUUUUUUUCAGGUUACUGCCAUCGAAUUCACAUACAAUAUAGGUAAACUCUCUCUCUCUCUCUCUCUCUCUCUCUCUCUCUCUCUCUCCCCCCUGAUUCCUCUCUUUUUAUUGUUUAGAGAAUUACAAUAGGAGGUCCACACGGAGUGGUCUCAGUGGGGAGGCUGUAAUGGGUUACGAUUUUUAGUGAUGGAGGAUAGUGGUUGAUGGUGAUUAAGAUGGGCUGUGACAAUGGCGGUAUAAGGUGGGUUUGGUGGUGGGUAUCAUGGCAAUAACCAUGGCACCACCACUCUUCCAAAACAAGUCAUAUGUAACACCGUAAAAAUUAAAACAAUUUUUCACAUUUUCAAAACACAAUUUUCAUUUACAAUUAUUAAUAAAAUCUCAUUGUAUCAUAUCUCUGUUCCACAAAACAUUUCCCAAGAUCGAAAUACAUAAAACUCCAUGCGUGUGUACGAAUCAUGCUGGCGCCUUCCCGCGAUCCUCACUAGUACCUGAAACACAUAACACAAAACACUGUAAGCACGAAGCUUAGUGAGUUCCCCGAAAUACCACUCUAACACAUAUUACCCACUUAGGGCUAUAACUCUGCUGACCCUCUCGUCAGUGCGUCUCAUUGGGACCCUCUAGUCCCAACUCUCUGUGGGCCCUCUAGCCCUAACUCUAUGGACCCACUGGUCCUAUCUCUGAAAACUCUGAAUCAUGCAUAUCACAUAUCACAAUAACACAUAAAUAGCAUAAAAAUACACUGGAACAUAACUCAACAGUACACUAGCACAUAACUCUGUUACCAUUCUAGGUAAAGUAUAGUGAGAAGACUCACCUCAGAUGUCUCGGUAAAUCUCUAACUCCGUAGAAAUAUGGUCUAGCCUCCGCCUAAUCACAUAAAGUAAAAACUCUCAUAAAUAUAACUCUCGAGACUAGACUCAACCCUCUCGUGGCACCCUCAGAAGGGUAAAAGACCAUUUUACCCCUCUCUUGACACAAAGACCCCAUUGUUGACCAAACCCUCAAAGUCAACGGUCAAACUUGACCCGACUCGCCGAGUGCACUUGGGCGACUCGGCGAGUCUAUGCGUGUCCACUAUCCCUCUAGUCUCGCAUGACGCGUCGAGUCUUUCCCCUGCUCGACGGGUUACACCUGGCAUGAAUCGCGGGGCCACCCCGACUCAACUCGCCGAGUCCCAUUAUGAACUCGGCGAGUUCCGCCUUGAGCUCCAGUCCUCUAUUUCCCUCAGACUCACUGAGUCAUUCCCCCAACUCGACAAGUUACUUACUGAGUGAACUAUGGGAAACCCUAGCCCUACUCGUCGAGUCUGUUCUUGGGACUCGGCAAGUUCAUUCCUUGCUCAAGCUCAAAUGACCUCCUGAGGUCAGAUCCGUUCCUCUAACCCAUAGAUAUGGCCUCUUUAAGCAAUAUAAACACGUAAAGUCUGGAUGUUAAUGCCCAUGGAAAGACCCAAUGGCUCUAUUUGAAGAAAUGGCCUCGAUAUGUCACCCUAAGCUCAUAUUACCCAAUGUCACCCCAUAAAGAUCAGUGAGAUAAGGUCUCUAGACCUCUUUGGAUCCAAAUCCAAAGCCUCAACACAAGAAGGGACCAAUUGCACGAUCAUUCACACUCUAAAUGGGCUAGAAACCCUACCUAUCAAGGAUUAACACCCAAAACUGAAGAAGGAUCGAAUAUAUACCUCAAUAUGAAGUUCUUAGGCUCUGAAAUCCAUAAAAUAGCACCCUCUCCAGCUCCCUCUUGCCUUGGUCACCUUGUUCUUGAAAAAACACCCACACAAGGAUCAAAAAUGGCUUCUCCUUCCUCACGAACGCUCUAGGUCGCUUAGGGUUUCACUCAGGGGUCUGGUAGCCACAAUUGGUGGCUAUAAUCCCCUUUAAAUAGGUCUCAAACCCCGGGGAUUAGGGUUUCAUUAAACAGCACGGACUCGCUGAGUCCACUAGUCGACUCGCCGAGUCCGGUCAUUAAACCGGAUAAAAUUCGUGAUCCUACUCGGUGAGUCUAAGCGUCAACUCGCCGAGUCCCUCCAAAAUCUCCAAAAUAAAUGAAUAAUUAAUGUACCUAGAAAUCCGGAUGUUACACCAUAAUUCCCAGUUCAAAGAAGAAAUGAAUCAGGUAUGUGUUUCCUUUUAAUUUUCCUCUCUUCACUAUACAUAAAAAUUAGGUGUGUAUUCAUGAUUUGUUUAUGUGUGUGUUUGCGUUUAAUAGUUUUUUUAAAAAAUUCAUUUGGGAAGUUUCUUUUUUGAUUUGUCUGAUUUGAAAUCUAUUGUCAAUGUAGGUACAUGUCUAAUUUUUGUUUUUAUUAGGAUAUAAAACCGUUGUUCUUCCAGGUGUUGCAAUUUUCACUCCUAAUACUCUCUUCAUUUUGUUCUCGACAGAAAUUUAUUAGGAGGUUUAAUUUUUCUUAUUAAUUAUUUAUUUAUUAUUUUCUAUUCACAAAUGUCCUUAUAAUCGAUAGGAAAGAACAAUCUCAAC
rnacentral:lncRNA from 1 species